rnacentral:rRNA from 1 species
GGGGGAUAUUGCACAAUGGAGGAAACUCUGAUGCAGCGACGCCGCGUGAGGGAAGAAGGUAUUCGUAUUGUAAACCUCUGUCUUUGGGGACGAAAGAAAUGACGGUACCCGAAGAGGAAGCACCGGCUAACUACGUGCCAGCAGCCGCGGUAAAACGUAGGGUGCAAGCGUUGUCCGGAAUUACUGGGUGUAAAGGGAGCGCAGGCGGAGCGACAAGUUGAAUGUGAAAAGUAUGGGCUCAACCCAUAUCGUGCGUUCAAAACUGUCGUUCUUGAGUGAAGUAGAGGCAAGUGGAAUUCCCGGUGUAGCGGUGGAAUGCGUAGAGAUCGGGAGGAACACCAGUGGCGAAGGCGACUUGCUGGGCUUUAACUGACGCUGAGGCUCGAAAGCGUGGGGAGCAAACA